rnacentral:rRNA from 1 species
GAUGAACGCUGGCGGCGUGCUUAACACAUGCAAGUCGAACGAGAAAUGGAGACGGAAACCUUCGGGCGGAAGGCUUCAUUUCGAGUGGCGGACGGGUGAGUAACGCGUGGGUAACCUGCCUCAUACAGGGGGAUAACAGUUGGAAACGACUGUUAAUACCGCAUAAGACCACAGCACCGCAUGGUGCGGGGGUAAAAACUCCGGUGGUAUGAGAUGGACCCGCGUUCGAUUAGCCAGUUGGCGGGGUAACGGCCCACCAAAGCGACGAUCGAUAGCCGAUCUGAGAGGAUGACCGGCCACAUUGGGACUGAGACACGGCCCAAACUCCUACGGGAGGCAGCAGUGGGGAAUAUUGCACAAUGGGGGAAACCAUGAUGCAGCGACGCCGCGUGAGUGAAGAAGUACUUCGGUAUGUAAAGCUCUAUCAGCAGGGAAGAAAAUGACGGUACCUGAGGAAGAAGCCCCGGCUAACUACGUG